rnacentral:rRNA from 1 species
GAUGAACGCUAGCGGCAGGCUUAACACAUGCAAGUCGAGGGGCAGCAUGAAGGUUAGCAAUAACCUUUGAUGGCGACCGGCGCAAGGGUGCGUAACGCGUGAGCAACUUGCCCGUUUCAGGGGGAUAACCGGUGGAAACGCCGACUAAUACCCCAUGGCAUCAUUAGGAGGCAUCUCCUUCUGAUUAAAGAAUUUCGGAAACGGAUAGGCUCGCGUGACAUUAGCUAGAUGGCGGGGUAACGGCCCACCAUGGCGACGAUGUCUAGGGGUUCUGAGAGGAAGGUCCCCCACACUGGAACUGAGACACGGUCCAGACUCCUACGGGAGGCAGCAGUGAGGAAUAUUGGUCAAUGGACGGAAGUCUGAACCAGCCAUGCCGCGUGCAGGAUGACUGCCUUAUGGGUUGUAAACUGCUUUUAAUCAGGAAGAAAUGUGCCCACGAGUUGGGUACUUGACGGUACUGUUUGAAUAAGGAUCGGCU